GGGGGGGGGGGGGGGGGGGGGGGGGGGGGGGGGGGCGGGGGCUGGGUGGGGCGGGGGGGCGGGCACUCAGGUGGGGGGAGGAGGGGCGGACGGGGGAGUAACACGGGGGUAACCUACCCAUCAGAGGGGGAUAACACUUGGAAACAGGUGCUAAUACCGCAUAACAGUUUAUGCCGCAUGGCAUAAGAGUGAAAGGCGCUUUCGGGUGUCGUUGAUGGAUGGACCCGCGGUGCAUUAGCUAGUUGGUGAGGUACCGGCUCACCAAGGCCCCGAUGCAUAGCCGACCUGAGAGGGUGAUCGGCCACACUGGGACUGAGACACGGCCCAGACUCCUACGGGAGGCAGCAGUAGGGAAUCUUCGGCAAUGGACGAAAGUCUGACCGAGCAACGCCGCGUGAGUGAAGAAGGUUUUCGGAUCGUAAAACUCUGUUGUUAGAGAAGAACAAGGACGUUAGUAACUGAACGUCCCCUGACGGUAUCUAACCAGAAAGCCACGGCUAACUACGUG
rnacentral:rRNA from 1 species